GAUGAACGCUGGCGGCGUGCCUAAUACAUGCAAGUCGAGCGAACAGACGAGGAGCUUGCUCCUCUGACGUUAGCGGCGGACGGGUGAGUAACACGUGGAUAGCCUACCUAUAAGACUGGGAUAACUUCGGGAAACCGGAGCUAAUACCGGAUAAUAUAUUGAACCGCAUGGUUCAAUAGUGAAAGACGGUUUUGCUGUCACUUAUAGAUGGAUCCGCGCCGCAUUAGCUAGUUGGUAAGGUAACGGCUUACCAAGGCGACGAUGCGUAGCCGACCUGAGAGGGUGAUCGGCCACACUGGAACUGAGACACGGUCCAGACUCCUACGGGAGGCAGCAGUAGGGAAUCUUCCGCAAAGGGCGAAAGCCUGACGGAGCAACGCCGCGUGAGUGAUGAAGGUCUUCGGAUCGUAAAACUCUGUUAUUAGGGAAGAACAAAUGUGUAAGUAACUAUGCACGUCUUGACGGUACCUAAUCAGAAAGCCACGGCUAACUACGUG
rnacentral:rRNA from 1 species